UUUGUUGGAGAGUUUGAUCCUGGCUCAGGACGAACGCUGGCGGCGUGCUUAACACAUGCAAGUCGAG
rnacentral:rRNA from 1 species